rnacentral:rRNA from 1 species
UUCAUAGAGUGUAAAGGCAUAAGGGAGCUUGACUGCGAGACCUACAAGUCGAGCAGGGUCGAAAGACGGACUUAGUGAUCCGGUGGUUCCGCAUGGAAGGGCCAUCGCUCAACGGAUAAAAGCUACCCCGGGGAUAACAGGCUUAUCUCCCCCAAGAGUUCACAUCGACGGGGAGGUUUGGCACCUCGAUGUCGGCUCAUCGCAUCCUGGGGCUGUAGUCGGUCCCAAGGGUUGGGCUGUUCGCCCAUUAAAGCGGUACGCGAGCUGGGUUCAGAACGUCGUGAGACAGUUCGGUCCCUAUCCGUCGUGGGCGUAGGAAAUUUGAGAGGAGCUGUCCUUAGUACGAGAGGACCGGGAUGGACAUACCUCUGGUGUACCAGUUGUCGUGCCAACGGCAUAGCUGGGUAGCUAUGUGUGGACGGGAUAAGUGCUGAAAGCAUCUAAGCAUGAAGCCCCCCUCAAGAUGAGAUUUCCCAACUUCGGUUAUAAGAUCCCUCAAAGAUGAUGAGGUUAAUAGAUUCGAGGUGGAAGCAUGGUGACAUGUGGAGCUGACGAAUACUAAUCGAUCGAAGACUUAAUCAA